CGCUGCAGCUCUGCCCUGGCCCGGAGCCUAUGGAGGCCCCUCCCCGCCACUUAACCCCAAUAAAGCUGGCCUGCUGUCAUCUGCCUUUAGUCUCCACCGCAGUCUCUACCUGCCAUAAAGCCUACAUUAUACCUAAAAUUGGGCAGGACAGUAGCAGGUCCUCUUGAAGAGACAUCUGAGCAGCACACCUCCAAGGACACCCUGGAUGCCAAUGGAGGGAUUCAGCAGGGCAAUUGGGACAAUAUUCAUUCAAUCAACAAAUAUUUAUCGUGCAUCCACUAUGUACCAGACUCUGGGGACAGAGUGAAUGAGACCUCAUUCCAGUGUCGUGAUUUCCAGUCCUCAUGAAUCUGAAAGUCUGUAAUGGUCACCCUAAUAAAUUAUAGAACAGACGAGUGCUGAGAAGGGGAGAUACAUGGUACUUGGACUGACCUAAUCUAGAGAAGUCAGGGUGGGCUUCCCUGAAGAAGUGUCUUCAUAUUUGAGAUAUUGUUGCUGAAAUUCAUCCUCUGUACACUGGUACCAGAUUAAACCUCAGAGACAGAAUUUUGAGUGAAGUAGAAAGAAAUAGCUCUAUUGCUUUGCCAGGCAGAGGGGGCCCCAGUGGGCUAAUGCCCUCAGGGAUGUGUGUCCUGCCCUGGAGGGGGUAGUGAGGGGUCUUAUAGUAUUCAAGGAGCGGAGGGUGUGAUCAGCUCACGGACAUUGUUCUGACAGGUUGGCGGGGAGGUAAUCAGGAGUCAGCGUCAUCAGCCACCUUGUUCCAAGUGGACUGGGGUCUGCGUGCUCGCGGGCAGCACACAGUUAACUUCUCCCACCUGGUAGGGGUUUCAGUAUCUGCAAAACAGCUCAAAGCACAUGGCUCAGAAUAUUAUCUAUAGUCCUUGAGGAAGAACUAAAGGUCCUUGACUUUGUUUAAUGGCUAAAGUAUUAUUAUUUUGUCUUGCUUGACUGUUUUCCUUUCUUUCUGCAUUUUCUCACUUCUCUGAUUAACUUUAUUCUUUAAAACUUUGACUAAAGUUUUUCUACAGACAAAAAGCAGGUGGAGGACAUGGGUGGGGAUCUAUUCAGGGAAGGCCUCAUAGGGUCCUGCUUGGUGACAAUAUGAAGGAUGACUGGGUGUAAACUAGAUGAAAGGGGUGGUGGAACAGCAUUUUAGGCAAAGAAAACCAUGUGCAAAGGCCCU
rnacentral:lncRNA from 1 species